UAAUAAUGCAUCAACUGUUAAGGUUCUGACACACAAACCCGACGGCCGACAUUUGGCAGAAAAGGCAGUCGGACUGUCAGUCUCCCCGAGUUGGUC